UCGUGUGGAUUUGGAAAUCCCCUUUUCCACAGUUAAAGAAUCUGCAGUGUAUUUCUGUGCUCUGCAGACCACGGUGACAGGAAAUCAAACGUUACUGUACAAAAACCUAACAGCUUGAGAUCACAUGGGUUUAUCAUGCUCAAUAUUCACUCAGUUAGGGGGAGGAGCUUCAAGCAGCUGUAAAGAUCUCAAGUGCCAUCAUAGAUGCAAGUGCCAUUUCAGCAUGAUUCUGCUCGCCACAAUUAUCCUGCUCUGUGCUGUUGGGAGUGGAAGGUUUGAGAGUCCUAUUACGUCAGACCAAACUGAGGUCUUUGAUGAGGAGGGUGCCAAUAUAACUUUAUCAUGUAGCUACUCAGCUGCAAUUAGUUUGCACUGGUAUCGCAAAUAUCCCAAAUCAGCUCCUGAAUAUCUUUUAUUAAUUCUGCAAUCCUCCGGACGGGUCCAGAGCGCAGAGAAACUGGAUUCUCGGUUUUCAGUGAGACUGAAUGAAGAGAAAAACCGUGUGGAGCUAAUCAUCUCCUCUGUCAAUGUGACAGAUUCUGCUCUGUACUACUGUGCUGUGGAGCCCACAGUGACAGGAAACCUUUACACACUGUACAAAAACGUGCAUAUACACAGUAGAAAAUACAUAGACCAAUAA